UAAAUAAACACGGAACUCACCGUCAAAAAUAUCCACCAUAUUGAAAAAGGCCAAAGACAAGGAUGAUUUCCCGCUGCCUGUUCGUCCACAGAUUCCCACCUGACAGGAAGAGAAGGUUGGACAUGUGACAGUUUGAUGAACAACAGAGUGACGCCUCUUUGUGGUCUGAGGUUUUUCCCGCUUCACUGUAACGUCCUCAGGAUCGUAGUCCCUGAUUCUUCUGAGGAUCAGAUUUUAUUGACUAAUGAUGUUUACUAAGUCACCAGCUGAAAGGACGAAAAGUUUAACCAAUGACAGCAAAGAACCGUGAAUGGAUGUGUUGUGGGGGACACAUCCAUUGGUCUUGUUCAGGUUUAAACAAAGCUUCGGGUGUCAAACAUAUGGCCCAUGGGCAAAAACCAGCCCACAAAACCAAUUUUUUUGGGUCGUAUCACGUCAUGUUUCCCAGGAGUUUAAGAAUAAUUACUAUUGACUUGGGUUUGUUGGUGAUGUUUUGGUUGGUGAUGAACUGUAUUACUGGUGGCUCUCCGAUUAGUUUGACACCCCUGCUCUGUAUUAAGCUUCUUGCUAGUUAGCAUUCUAAGGUACGUCUUAUGUUUCUACUCGUUGUUUUAACCCCUGAUGUUCUAUAGUUCCUUAAGCUUCUAGUUGUAGCUUUUUAACAUUUGUGUAUACCUCUAGCUAAUUUUAGUACCUUUUGUACUCGCAUUUUCUUUGACGAUCAUAGUUAGCCUGAAUUUGUAGCAUCUGGUUUAGCUACUGUAUGGUCAGCUACUAUCUGCUACAUUGUUUGUAAGACUUUAACCUUUUUUAAUCUUAAGCUUCUAUUCUUGGCCAAAUGUGCAUUUAGCCGUAGCCAGUUUGUUGUGUUGUUUUGUUUUAUAUUUGUUUCAAUUCCAUUCACCUUUUACAAAUAAAACUCCUGUAAGACGAAAA